rnacentral:lncRNA from 1 species
UCUCCUCGGGGUUACUUCUAUAUGCAGGUCUAUUAGGAAUGGUAGCUCCAGGGACGAAGUCUAUUUGAUGCUCAAUUCCCCUAAUAGGUGGCAAACCGUUAGGGACUUCAUUUGGAAACACAUCAUCAAAGUCCUGCAAAAGAGUCACAAUAGCACUAGGCAAAGAAAAGUUAAGCUCAUUAGUGUGUAAACAAGCCUCUUUGCACAAAAGUACAACAAUAGGCUGUUUUGAAAAAAAAGCCCUCUUAACCUCGCUCUCUUUUGCAAACAAGUUCACUUGCUGCCUCUCUUUUCUCUCAACAAUAUUUUUUUCUAUCUUUUCACUUGCUUUUCUCUCAAUCUCUCUUUCUUUU